rnacentral:pre_miRNA from 1 species
ACCAGCCUGCGAUCGGCCGUCGAGGCUCGAGCUCUCCCAGAUCCGGCGAGCCCGAGCCUCGACGGCCGAUCGCUGGCCGGU